CCCGCUGAAUUUAAGCAUAUUAMUAAGCGGAGGAAAAGAAACUAACAAGGAUUCCCUCAGUAACGGCGAGUGAAGMGGGAAAGCYCARRWUURAAAUCUCCGUGCUUGCAUCGGVGAGUUGUAGUUGCGAGAAGCACUUUCUAGGWGGRKYGGCGGUGGCCAAGUUGCUUGGAACAGCACGUCGCAGAGGGUGAGAACCCCGUCCGAGGCGCCGCCGGCCGCUGRCGAUGUGCUUUCRAACGAGUCGGGUWGYUUGGGAAUGCAGCCCAAAAUGGGUGGUAAACUCCAUCUAAAGCUAAAUACUGGCGUGAGACCGAUAGCGAACAAGUACCGUGAGGGAAAGAUGAAAAGAACUUUGAAAAGAGAGUUAAAAAGUACGUGAAACCGUCGGAAGGGAAACGAAUGGACUCAGCAAUGCGCCCUCUGAGAUUCAGCCGCGUGGGUGGCGUCGGCGCGGGGUUUGCGGAUCUGAAUGGACCGCGGCCCGGCGCUCGCUGCUCCCCGCCGUCGCACUUCUCUGGGGCGCGCGUCAACGUGGGUUGGGACUGGGUCUGAAAGGUGCCGGGAAGGUAGGUGUGGGCCUUCGGGUCCGUUCUGUUACAGCCCGGUUCUCUCAUGGCUCGGGCCCGACCGAGGAGCAGACAGGGCAUGCCUCCUGUGGCURGGGUCCCGUCCUUCCGGCCGGCUGUCCAGUGUGGUGGACUGCUURCAGUGCUCUGCGACGGCUGCCGGUCGUUGGGGUGGUGAUCUCGUACCAUGCCCUUGGGAUGUUGGCGGUCAUAUGGGUGC
rnacentral:rRNA from 1 species